AUUGAACGCUGGCGGCAUGCUUUACACAUGCAAGUCGAACGGUAACAGGCCGCAAGGUGCUGACGAGUGGCGAACGGGUGAGUAAUGCAUCGGAACGUGCCCAGUCGUGGGGGAUAACGCAGCGAAAGCUGCGCUAAUACCGCAUACGAUCUGUGGAUGAAAGCGGGGGACCGAAAGGCCUCGCGCGAUUGGAGCGGCCGAUGUCAGAUUAGGUAGUUGGUGGGGUAAAGGCCCACCAAGCCAACGAUCUGUAGCUGGUCUGAGAGGACGACCAGCCACACUGGGACUGAGACACGGCCCAGACUCCUACGGGAGGCAGCAGUGGGGAAUUUUGGACAAUGGGCGCAAGCCUGAUCCAGCAAUGCCGCGUGCAGGAAGAAGGCCUUCGGGUUGUAAACUGCUUUUGUACGGAACGAAAAGACUCUGGUCAAUACCUGGGGUCCAUGACGGUACCGUAAGAAUAAGCACCGGCUAACUACGUGCCAGCCGCCGCCGUAAAAC
rnacentral:rRNA from 1 species